rnacentral:lncRNA from 1 species
AUGUCCCGUUUUCGAGGCUGCAGUAGCUCCGGUGUCCGGUUCUGCAGUGCCGAGAGGGAGGCCUCGGGCUCCGGGCGGGGGAAUGUGUUGCAGUUUGUCCAAGAGCCCCAAGCCCAGCAAAGCCGCCCGUUCCCCGCUGGGGCGCAACUCUCACUGGAACUCUUGUUCUCUGACUGGGGAAUGGAAUGGGCUCAGCCAAGGCUCCCGAAACCAGCCCUGCCGCUCCCAGUUGUGGUCGCAUUCUCAAGAGCGGCUGACUGCGCCGUGGACCAUCACUUUCGCUUCUGCCUGCUCUUGCGCCUAUUGCGGCAACUACUCACGCUCCUACGGGACGAGGAGAGGGAGGUGAAUCCGUGGCAGAGGUGAG